rnacentral:rRNA from 1 species
CUAAAUAGGAUUCCCUCAGUAAUGGCGAAUGAACAGGGAUAAGCUCAGCAUGGAAAUUGGGGCCCUCGGCCUUGAAUUGUAGUCUUGAGAUGUGUUACCAACGGAGGCGCAGAUGUAAGCCUCUUGGAAAAGAGCGUCAGGGAGGGUGAGAGUCCCGUAUGUCAUCUGCAGUUCUCUGUGCACGGUGCAUGUUCUAAGAGUCACGUUCCUCGGGAUUGGAGCGCAAAUUGGGUGGUAAAUUUCAUCUAAAGCUAAAUAUUGGUUCGAGACCGAUAGCAAACAAGUACCAUGAGGGAAAGGUGAAAAGGACUUUGAAAAGAGAGUUAAAAGUGCCUGAAAUUGCUGAAAGGGAAGCGAAUGGAACCAG